rnacentral:tRNA from 1 species
AGCUCGUCGGGCUCAUAACCCGGAGGUCGCAGGUUCGAAUCCUGCCCCCGCUA